AUUGAACGCUGGCGGCAUGCCUUACACAUGCAAGUCGAACGGUAACGCGGGGCAACCUGGCGACGAGUGGCGAACGGGUGAGUAAUAUAUCGGAACGUGCCCAGUAGUGGGGGAUAGCCCGGCGAAAGCCGGAUUAAUACCGCAUACGACCUAAGGGUGAAAGCGGGGGAUCGCAAGACCUCGCGCUAUUGGAGCGGCCGAUAUCAGAUUAGGUAGUUGGUGGGGUAAAGGCCUACCAAGCCGACGAUCUGUAGCUGGUCUGAGAGGACGAUCCGCCACACUGGAACUGAGACACGGUCCAGACUCCUACGGGAGGCAGCAGUGGGGAAUUUUGGACAAUGGGGGCAACCCUGAUCCAGCCAUGCCGCGUGAGUGAAGAAAGCCUUCGGGUUGUAAAGCUCUUUCGGCCGGGAAGAAAUCGUAUGGGUUAAUACCCUGUGCGGAUGACGGUACCGGCAUAAGAAGCACCGGCUAACUACGUG
rnacentral:rRNA from 1 species